UGGGGAAUAUUGGACAAUGGGCGAAAGCCUGAUCCAGCCAUGCCGCGUGUGUGAAGAAGGUCUUCGGAUUGUAAAGCACUUUAAGUUGGGAGGAAGGGCAGUAAGCGAAUACCUUGCUGUUUUGACGUUACCGACAGAAUAAGCACCGGCUAACUCUGUGCCAGCAGCCGCGGUAAUACAGAGGGUGCAAGCGUUAAUCGGAAUUACUGGGCGUAAAGCGCGCGUAGGUGGUUCGUUAAGUUGAAUGUGAAAGCCCCGGGCUCAACCUGGGAACUGCAUCCGAAACUGGGGAGCUAGAGUAGGGGAGAGGGUGGUGGAAUUUCCUGUGUAGCGGUGAAAUGCGUAGAUAUAGGGAGGAACACCAGUGGCGAAGGCGACCACCUGGGCUCAUACUGACACUGAGGUGCGAAAGCGUGGGGAGCAAACAGG
rnacentral:rRNA from 1 species